AUUCAGAGCACACCUGGAAUCCAUUUGGGCACACCACUGUGAGACAGCCCAAGGUCGGGAAGCUCUGCCUUAGAGAAUUCUGCCUGGUCCUAGGUGAGUACCCCAUGGCCCAGAGUGGGGUAUGACGCACCCCAGGUCACAUGCUAAGUUCAUGACAGAGCUGAGACCGGAACCUAACUCUUUUGGCUCCUGGCACCACAACCAUGUAGGUCCUUCAUUUCUUGUCCUUAUUUUUCCCUCCCUGCUUCCUUCCUCCCAUUGACUCAUUCACCACAAAUCCCUCACAUGCCUAGCUGACUAGCCAAAGACAUUGGCUUAUGCAGCACCUCCCACAGGGAGGGCAGUGUUUCUUGGACUUUGGCGUUCAUGAGUACAGAACUUUAAAAAUAGGCGUAUUUUGCUGCUGUGUCUUUGGGAAGAAAGUUGACGCAGGAAGAGAGAAGAGUGAAAGUUUACAGUAGGACGCAUGAGGCAGUAUUUCCCUUAUACUCCAUCUUAUUUCUUGGGCUGAGUCUUAUGCUGAACACUUGAUCUUGGUGACCCGUAAGGAGACCCAAAGGCUACAAAUACAUGCAAGUUCAAAAUAACAGGUUAUUUUAUCCGAUACAGAAUGGAAAUAAUUUCAGAUGUUUGAAGGGGUAUGCAGCGGUUUCCAAAUUCCUGUGUGCAUGAGAAUCUCCUCGGAAGCCCGUUUAACUUAUCUGGGCAAGCAAUUCUAAAUCAGCUGAUUUGGCCGGGAGCCCAAGGGUCUGCAUUUUAACAAGCACUCUGGGAUUAUCUGAUUGAGAAAUGCUGAAACGAGUGAGAGCUCAGAGCUCGAAUAUGCUAUAUAAUGGGGAUACUGCAAAAGGGGGUAGUGUUACAUCUGUUUUCCAGUUUGGGAAGCUGCAAUUCUGCGUUAUUAGGGGAACUACCUGAGUUCUGAAAGACAGCAAGGGGCAGAGCUGGGAUUCAGACCCGGUCAGUCUGAUGCCCGGGCCACUGUGCUUCGCAUCAGAGCAGCCACGCCCAGCCCCUCCCAGGGCAGCAUCGCGCAUGGAUAACAACACCUAUGCCCGCCGGAUCCACAUACACCUGAGGAGUCCUCAGCAUUAUCCCCAUGGCCACUAAUCACCUUUCAGAGCUGGCAGGCCCAGUAUCUGGCACAUAGAAGGCAGACAAUAAACAAAUAAAUACAGACCAAUGUCUUCAAAUUUCCAACUGUGACAGGAGACUCCUGACUUGCCACCUUCCUUUGUGCUUGAGCAUUUGAAGCAUCAACCAUAAUAAAGGUACAGAGGACUGUCAGGAAAUAAUGCACUUGUGAAAUGAGGCACCACCAGUCAGAUGGCGCUCCCCCAGUCACACGCACGCGCACGCCGCUCUCCUGCUGGGCUGCCCCGUCUCCACCUGAAGCCAGCGGACAGAUGAUUAAAUUCACACGUUCCACUUCGGCAGCCCAGGGUUUCCCAAGUUCAGAUCCUGGGCACGGACAUGGCACUGCUGGCCAGGCCAUGCUGAGCUGGCAUCCCACACAGCACAACCAGAAGGCCCUACAACUGGAAUAUACAACCAUGUACUGGAGGGCUUUAGGGAGAAGAAGAGGAAAAGGCAGGUUGGUAGCAAAUGUUAGCUCAGGGCCAAUCUUUAGAGGAAAAAAACCAGCUUAUCCCUCAGAAAAACCUAAUAUGAUGUAUUGGUCUUAAGUAUUCUUUUCCCUGUAGUAUGGAUCUGUGUUUAUGUGCUUAUUUGUUUUAUGUAUUUAUUAUACAGUUGAUAAUAAGUUUAAACCUUAAUGUAUUAGAAUAU
ensembl:lncRNA